UUUACCAGAUGGCGGACUACUCUGAGCUUCACAUCAGUACAGUUCCUCCAGUUCGCAGCUGUACUGAAACUGAGCAGAGCUGCCACAAACCCAGAACAAAGGAUGAAGCAGACGACAGAUGACGGAAGACAGAUGACGAGAAUCCACAGCAGUACAGGAGUGAUGGUGAAGACCGGGAAGUGGGAAGCAGAUGACAGAAGACAGAUGACGAAAUACUCAGUAAAUUAGGCUAACUAUGUUACCUCAGAUGGUUGAAUGGUUGGAUUCCACAACUGGUAAAAUAAAACAUAUAUAAGCCAAUACAACAUUUACUGUAGGAGCCAUACAAUUUACUGGUGACUUAAUUUAAAAAGCUGUUCUAUUGCGCUUCUGAUUUGGCAGUGAAAUUCACCGAUUCACCUGACAUCUUUCAAAGCAAAUGCCUCGGGCGCUUAUUAGAGAUUUUUUGUCCCAAUACUAUCACCAACAAAGAUCUACUGAGCAGAGCAGGGAUGAUAACUAUCUCAAAUUAUACAUCUGCACUGCUGGAGAUGGUUCUGUCACGUCUGCAGAAAGUCGCCUAACUCUUUGCUCAGGAGUCAGGAGAGCACUCUACUGAACACCACAGGGAAAAAGAAACCAUGGCAGACCAAAAGAAACUCGGCGUAUAGGACAGCUGAAAGACAUUUGAAAGUGAGAAAGCUGACACUCCAGACAGUUCCCAACUUAAGAAAAAAAUAAAAAAAAUGGUGAGCUUGCUGCAAUUGAAUCAGACACCCUGACUUACUCAAAUGUUUAUUCCAUACACAAAUUAAGUUACAUAAAAAUGAUGGGUAACCCUUUAUUUUAAUGUGUCCAUGUUACACGUUACUUGUAUUUACUAUAGUAAUAACCAUAAAUAAGGCAUAAUUACAUGAAACUAACCCUAAACCAAACCCUAAUCCUACCCUAACCCAAUUAAGUACAUGUGCUUAAUUAAUAUUACUCAGUACUUAUAUGUAUAAUGUUGAUGGAUAUGAUGAUUAUGCAAUUACUCUAUUUUGUUUAAAGUUGUUGUUUUUUUUCUUUGUAGUAGCUUUAUCUAAUCCAGUUAGUGAUGAUGCAUAAAACAUUUAUUGAAAUGAUGGAAUGUAGAAAACAAAACUAUGUAUAAGAAUGAUAUUAAUUGCUAUUAUGUAUGCAUGUAUACUUAACCAUGUUGCAGUGAUUUGUAUAUGGUUGUUUUACAUACAGUGUAUGUUUAUGUUAAAAAUAAAUAUUAAACUGUAGUGUAUAGUACAAAAUUUAUAUUAAAGUAACAAAGCAGAGAACAUUUAUGUAUUAGAUAAAAGGAAAUUGUAAUGCUGUAGAUAAGGCAUAUUUUACAGACAAAAUGGAGACGGACACAGAGGAGAAGAGCCAAAAGGAGAGCUAACAGGAGAAAACGCUACUUCAGAAACACCUUAAAAGGAAUGUGGAAGACUUGGCAGCUCUCCAACUGAUGACAACAGAUGAGAAUUGAACAUCAGCAGUGAACUGUUUGAGUAUAAAAGACUGAUGAGAAGACU